AAUGAGAACAACCACAGUGCUUCCAUCCUGGGAUGAAUAUUAGUUGGAGUAAGACACAGGAAGCUCUCGGCACAGCCAGAAGCACAGAGGAGGUGCUCGGUAGCCCACCUGGGAGGAAUUUUCCAGAGAUCACUGUCUGAUGACCCUGUCUUGGAAUUGGAGCCAUGCAAGUUACACUGACCAUGUUUGGGUUGGGAUAUUGAGGAGGUUAUGGUUAAAAGCAUACGAUGGGAGACCAUAUCGUACUUGCGAGUGAGACCCGGCUGGAGGAAUGUUUUAAUUCUUCGGAAAUACCAAGUGGUCUCUAGAUGGGUUUUCACUAUUUUUCCCAGGCUAGUCUCCAACUUCUGGGCUCAAGCGAUCCACCCGCCUCGGCCUCCUAAGUCCUAGGAUUAUAGGUAUGAGCCACUGCGCCUGGCCUUUUUGCCUUUUGAAAGUAUCUGUUGUUAACAAUAUUCAAUUGGGUUGAACCUUGCUAGGGACCAAGGUGAAUUUGCAUAAAUUAGUCUAUGCCAAUUUGCAUACUAUCAGCAAAUUUGUAGUGUACAGAAUUUUGGAAAUAGAAGGAAGCUAAGAGGGGUGUCAAAUGCAGCUUCUUCUUUUUUUACCUGAAAAGAAACCGAAGUCCAGCUCAGGGAAGGUCACACAGCUAAUUCUUAUCAUGGGGAGACAGACCCAGGGACAUCAUGGUGCCUCCGAGAUUAGUACAGCCCCUCAAACAUCCCCAUUUUCUGUCCCUAGCCCAUUGAAACCCCUUAAACUUGGUCCCUCGAGCUCAGGUGAUAGCACACAUGAUGGAAAAUAGGCAGGCUUGCCAUUGAAGCUCCAACCUAGCUCUGCAACACAUCAGCUGUGUGACCUCGAGCAAAUCACUUAACCACUCUGAGCAUGGCAUUUGUAAAUGUCAAGGUAGCAACGCCCUCUUUACUGCCCUGUUGUGACAAAUAAGAUAUAUUCCAUAAAUAUGAUCCAUGUAAUAUUAAACCACCAUUUACUGAGUCUCCCCUAUGGAAAGCACUUAGUAGGUGCUCAAAAACUCCUAGUCCUUUCUUCCCCUCUUUCAAUGUGUCACUGCAUCUGGGUAAUUUAUACCCAUUUCCUGUUUUCCUUUGAGAAGUGCAUGUCAUGCUCUGCACAAAAGUGACUCUUAACGGUGGCAUUUCAAGCAUCAUGGCAGAGUGCUGAGACGUUGGUGAAGAUAUUUUAGGCUGGGGUGCAUGGGGAGCACUCUCAGGGCCUCUCAUGCGCAUCCUGAGCCCUUCCUGUGAACCAGACUGACCCUGGCUUCUGUGCCAUUU